AUAAUUAUGUUUUAUAAAUUUUUAUAAGAAUAAGAAAAAGUAAUGCAUAUGUUUGUAUUUUAUUAAGUAAACGCAGCUCAAUGGCAAGGUGGAAACAUACAAAAAUAUAAAAGUUUCUCAGAAUCAGUUUAUCGAAAACCGAUCUUGAUACUUUACAACCCUGAUGUUUGUUUACGUUUUGCACUUGCCAAUUAAUUGGUAAAAAUAAAUAUAUAAAUUAAUAUUGAAGCUGCUGUGGAGGAAAAAUAGCAAACGAUACACAUAUAAUAGGAUGUGCGUGUGUGUGUAUACAUGCAGGUAUGUGAUUAUUUGGUGGAGGUCUAUAAUGGAGAAGCGCAUACACUUGUUGUUCAACGGAGCGAAAGCCUAUGUAUGCAGAUAUGUCUUGAUGUACUUGCGUACAUCAAUAUGGCGAUCGGUUAAAUUUUUGGAUGCCUUAAUGGCCACGAACAAUAUUUUAUCUGCGGGUUUUUUUUUUGAAUUUUUUAAAUACAAUUGCCCCUCGCUUUAACCACGGACAAUGUGAAGCGAAAAAAUAUGUUCAGACACACAAAUAUGAAUUAAUUAACUGGAGUUGCCGGAAAUUUGGCAAUGGACGAGUUGAGGUAGGUGCACUGCUACUUAUCUUGUUUGAAUUUGUAGCUGUUCCUGGAACCUUUUCUUGCAGAUCCACCAAUGCUUGCUGGGGCGAACUGGAUAUGCCAAAUGUUGUAGAAAAAUCCGGCUCGAAGGACCAAAUGUUGUAGUAGGGCGUCCGCAGGGCUUCCAGAUGAACUUUGCUAAGUUGAAGUAUCGUUGGGGGAGCGUUUCUGCUCUGCACAAAUUUACUUAAGGUUUGAA